GCCUAUUUACCUGGGGAGACAUCCACGGGAUCUUUUUCUUUCUUUCUUUCUUUCUUUUUAAGUAAAUUGCAAAUAAGAAAAAAACACAGUAUAAUUCUUAUUGUACAUCAAAGUGUAAGUGUACAGAACUAAGUCUGGUAUGACCCACUGACUACCUCUGAGUGCCGGGAUUACAGGUGCCUUUUGAUUUCUUCAGCUCAUGGGUUACUUUCU
rnacentral:lncRNA from 1 species